AUUGAACGCUGGCGGCAUGCUUACACAUGCAAGUCGAACGGUAACAGGUCUUCGGAUGCUGACGAGUGGCGAACGGGUGAGUAAUGCAUCGGAACGUGCCCAGUCGUGGGGGAUAACGCAGCGAAAGCUGUGCUAAUACCGCAUACGAUCUAUGGAUGAAAGCGGGGGAUCGCAAGACCUCGCGCGAUUGGAGCGGCCGAUGUCAGAUUAGCUAGUUGGUGGGGUAAAGGCCCACCAAGGCGACGAUCUGUAGCUGGUCUGAGAGGACGACCAGCCACACUGGGACUGAGACACGGCCCAGACUCCUACGGGAGGCAGCAGUGGGGAAUUUUGGACAAUGGGCGCAAGCCUGAUCCAGCAAUGCCGCGUGCAGGAAGAAGGCCUUCGGGUUGUAAACUGCUUUUGUAUGGAACGAAAAGGUCUGGGUUAAUACCCUGGGCUCAUGACGGUACCGUAAGAAUAAGCACCGGCUAACUACGUG
rnacentral:rRNA from 1 species